rnacentral:tRNA from 1 species
GGAGUCGUGCCUGAAGUAAAGGGCCACUUUGAUAGAGUGAAUUAUGAGGGUUAAAAUCCCUCCAACUCCU